rnacentral:rRNA from 1 species
UAGGGAAUAUUGCACAAUGGGCGAAAGCCUGAUGCAGCGACGCCGCGUGAGUGAUGAAGGUCUUCGGAUUGUAAAGCUCUGUUGUCAGGGAAUAAGACAGUGAAUGUACCUGACGAGAAAGCACCGGCUAACUUCGUGCCAGCAGCCGCGGUAAUACGAGGGGUGCGAGCGUUGCUCGGAAUCAUUGGGCGUAAAGCGGGUGUAGGUGGCCGCGUAAGUCGGAGGUGAAAGCCCAGGGCUUAACCCUGGAAGUGCCUUUGAUACUGCGUGGCUUGAGUGUGAGAGAGGGUGCUGGAAUUCCUGGUGUAGUGGUGAAAUACGUAGAGAUCAGGAGGAACAUCGGUUGCGAAGGCGGGUGCCUGGCUCAACACUGACACUCAGACCCGAAAGCGUGGGGAUC